GGAUCAGAGUUUUGAUGUUUUAGUUGGGUUCGUACGGUUAUUUUGAACUUCGACAAUAUUUUCGGAAUUUAAUUCAGGGAUCCCAAAACUGGAACUAAUAGUACAGACUUGAAAUACCAAAACAAAAGUGAAAUCUUCCCGGUGGUUAUUUGCAAUUAUCGAACUAAUUCUUUUCUACAGAAACAACUAAAGAAACUACAUGCUAGUAUUAAACUCUUAAACAGUCAAAACCAAAAAGCUAAACCUCCUAUUACAGUCUAAGAAUUGCGAUAUCAAAGAUUAUAAGCAAAAUGUGAACACUGACAAACCACAAAACAAAGAAAGAAUAAAAAAUGGUGCAACGACUAAUUACUUACAACUAUAUAUAUAUGCUACCAAAUCCAAGAAGAGGGGUACGUAGUGGAAAAAGAAUUCCUCACUUGAGGCCUACUGAAUACAAGAGGUCAGGAAACGGUGCUGAUGAUUAUGGUGGUGUGUUGGUUUUCCUUUAUAAAAUUGGUUUUCAGUGUUACAUCAGAAAAUGUAACAUUUAACCUAUUGAAACACAUUUAGUAUGGUCUGUUUUCUGAUUUGUCUUUAUAUAGGAGCUACUAAGUUUAGGAAAACAUGAAAACAUCCCAAAUGAAUUACAGUAGUUGUCUCUAGUAUGAUAUUCUUGAAACGAUUGCUAAAUAUACCCUUUGUAAUUGGGUGGAAGAAGAUCACAAAAGCAAGAACUUUCUUAUGAUGGGUCCUGCCAGCACAAUUUGCAUAGGACUGAUAACAACUUGUUGGCCACAAUUUAUGUAAAUAGGUCUGUUUUAGUGAUUAUUUUCAGUUACAAGACGAAAAGUGGUAUUUCUGAAUAUAUAUAUAUAUAUACUAAUAUACAAAAUUAUAAAAAUCUUAUAUACUUUUUUAACUAUCAAAUAUAAAUAGUUUUUAGCACGGGAUAAAAGUGAUAAUAUACCAAAUGUUGGAGUAGGCUAAAAGAAUAAGUGGGCUGAAAAUCCCUUAUCAUUGGGUUUCUGCUCAACAUCUAAAUCGGUUAGGGAUAGGCCUCAUUACACACAACUAGUUUUUCUUUGGAAAAAUUACCCGAACUGUCAGCUCAUAAAUAAUGUUAACCAAAACCAGCUCACAUUCCGAAAUUUUGAAUUGAAAUAAAUUAAAGAGGGGUACGUAGUGGAAUGUUGUAUCCCAAAGUUCAGUUUUUCUCGGUUCAAAACUUCAAGACAUUGUAUCCUUAAGUUCAAGCUUAUGCAGUGAUUUGAUAGCUUUGGAACGACUCCUGGAACAUUCGAGGAAAAACGUAUGUUUAAAUAGAGGAGACUGUAACAAACCAACUAGU
rnacentral:lncRNA from 1 species